UGUACCCCCCAUUGUAACACGUGUGUAGCCCCGGACGUAAGGGCCGUGCUGAUUUGACGUCAUCCNCACCUUCCUCACAUCUUACGACGGCAGUCUCUCUAGAGUCCUCAGCAUAACCUGUUAGUAACUAAAGAUAAGGGUUGCGCUCGUUAUGGCACUUAAGCCGACACCUCACGGCACGAGCUGACGACAACCAUGCAGCACCUUCACAUUUGCCUUGCGGCUAACCUGUUUCCAGAUUAUUCAAAUGCAAUUUAAGCCCGGGUAAGGUUCCUCGCGUAUCAUCGAAUUAAACCACAUGUUCCUCCGCUUGUGCGGGCCCCCGUCAAUUCCUUUGAGUUUCACCGUUGCCGGCGUACUCCCCAGGUGGAAUACUUAAUGCUUUCGCUUGGCCGCUUACUGUAUAUCGCAAACAGCGAGUAUUCAUCGUUUACUGUGUGGACUACCAGGGUAUCUAAUCCUGUUUGAUACCCACACUUUCGAGCAUCAGUGUCAGUUGCAGUCCAGUGAGCUGCCUUCGCAAUCGGAGUUCUUCGUGAUAUCUAAGCAUUUCACCGCUACACCACGAAUUCCGCCCACCUCUACUGUACUCAAGACAGCCAGUAUCAACUGCAAUUUUACGGUUGAGCCGCAAACUUUCACAACUGACUUAACUGUCCACCUACGCUCCCUUUAAACCCAAUAAAUCCGGAUAACGCUCGGAUCCUCCGUAUUACCGCGGCUGCUGGCACGGAGUUAGCCGAUCCUUAUUCAUAUGGUACAUACAAAAUUCCACACGUGGAAAACUUUAUUCCCAUAUAAAAGAAGUUUACAACCCAUAGGGCAGUCAUCCUUCACGCUACUUGGCUGGUUCAGGCCUGCGCCCAUUGACCAAUAUUCCUCACUGCUGCCUCCCGUAGGAGUUUGGACCGUGUCUCAGUUCCAAUGUGGGGGACCUUCCUCUCAGAACCCCUAUCCAUCGAAGGUUUGGUGAGCCGUUACCUCACCAACUGCCUAAUGGA
rnacentral:rRNA from 1 species